UUUAUAUGUGUUCCGGAAGUCUUUCAAGAAGUCUUCCGGUUCGCUUUUUAUUUUUUUUAUUUUUUUAUUUUUUUUUAUUUUGCAGGAAUGGAAAAUCUUCCCCAAAUAUGUGUAGAUACUACUGAUGCGUUUAUGACGACGGAAAGAUUUGGUACACGAGAAGAGGUUAUCAGAUGGAAUAUUUAGUGUGUCGUUAUCUUGUAUAUAUAUAAACAUAUAUAUAAGAAUCAAAUAUGAAUAACCCAUACAUCAUAUUUAAAACAUUUUUAAACAAUUUGUCUAUGAUUUCAAUGAAUAACUCGUAAAAUACAACUAGAAUUGGUUAAGUUAUUUCUAGGUUG
rnacentral:lncRNA from 1 species